GGUACUAUGAGAAGGAUUGUCUUAGGUGUAAUAUGAGAAAGAUUGUCUUAGGGGUCCUAUGAGAAAGACUGUCUUAGGGGUACUAUGAGAAGGAUUGUCUUAGGGGUACUAUGAGAAGGAUUGUCUUAGGGGUACUAUGAGAAGGAUUGUCUUAGGGGUACUAUGAGAAGGAUUGUCUUAGGUGUAAUAUGAGAAAGAUUGUCUUAGGGGUCCUAUGAGAAAGACUGUCUUAGGGGUACUAUGAGAAGGAUUGUCUUAGGGGUACUAUGAGAAGGA